UUCUUCUCUUCUUCAUCUCUAGGGCUGGUUUUCUCUUCUUCAUGUCCAAUCUUGUUUGAGUAGAAGCUUAGAAGGAGGUGAAGCAUUGGAUCGAGGCUAAGAGUUGGCCGAGGAUUAGUUUGCGAGGAAGAGAAAUCAUCAAUUUUUCUGUUGCAGGUAGUAGGUGUGACCGUGUGGCAGCGUACUGGGCAUUUACUACUAUU